rnacentral:rRNA from 1 species
UACGGAGGGGACUAGCGUUGUUCGGAAUUACUGGGCGUAAAGCGCACGUAGGCGGAUUUGUAAGUCAGGGGUGAAAUCCCGGGCUCAACCUCGGAACUGCCUUUGAUACUGCAAAUCUCGAGUCCGGAAGAGGUGAGUGGAAUUCCUAGUGUAGAGGUGAAAUUCGUAGAUAUUAGGAAGAACACCAGUGGCGAAGGCGGCUCACUGGUCCGGUACUGACGCUGAGGUGCGAAAGCGUGGGAGCAAACAGGG